UACGUAGGUGGCAAGCGUUGUCCGGAUUUACUGGGCGUAAAGAGCGCGCAGGCGGUCGUUCAAGUCGCGUGUGAAAGCCCCCGGCUCAACUGGGGAGGGUCACGCGAUACUGAUCGACUCGAAGGCAGGAGAGGGUAGUGGAAUUCCCGGUGUAGUGGUGAAAUGCGUAGAUAUCGGGAGGAACACCAGUGGCGAAGGCGACUACCUGGACCAAUACUGACGCUCAUGUGCGAAAGCGUGGGGAGCAAACAGG
rnacentral:rRNA from 1 species